UUCAACGACCGUACCGCAAACCGACACUGGUGCGCGAGAUGAGUAUUCUAAGGCGCUUGAGAGAACUCAGGAGAAGGAACUCGGCAAAUUGACACCGUAACUUCGGAAGAAGGUGUGCCCUAUUAGUGUGAAGUGAACAACGGAGCAUGAAUGGGUUGCAAAAAAUCGGUGGCUGCGACUGUUUAUUAAAAACACAGCACUCUGCAAACACGAAAGUGGACGUAUAGGGUGUGACGCCUGCCCGGUGCUGGAAGAUUAAAUGAUGGGGUGCAAGCUCUUGAUUGAAGUCCCAGUAAACGGCGGCCGUAACGAUAACGGUCCUAAGGUAGCGAAAUUCCUUGUCGGGUAAGUUCCGACCUGCACGAAUGGCGUAACGAUGGCCACACUGUCUCCUCCUGAGACUCAGCGAAGUUGAAAUGUUUGUGAUGAUGCAAUCUCCCCGCGGAAAGACGGAAAGACCCCAUGAACCUUUACUGUAGCUUUGUAUUGGACUUUGAACAGAUCUGUGUAGGAUAGGUGGGAGGCUUUGAAGCAGGGUCGCUAGAUCUUGUGGAGCCAACGUUGAAAUACCACCCUGGUGUGUUUGAGGUUCUAACCUAGGUCCAUUAUCUGGAUCGGGGACAGUGCAUGGUAGGCAGUUUGACUGGGGCGGUCUCCUCCCAAAGCGUAACGGAGGAGUUCGAAGGUACGCUAGUUACGGUCGGACAUCGUGACGAUAGUGCAAUGGCAUAAGCGUGCUUAACUGCGAGACUGACAAGUCGAGCAGAUGCGAAAGCAGGACAUAGUGAUCCGGUGGUUCUGUAUGGAAGGGCCAUCGCUCAACGGAUAAAAGGUACUCUGGGGAUAACAGGCUGAUACCGCCCAAGAGUUCAUAUCGACGGCGGUGUUUGGCACCUCGAUGUCGGCUCAUCUCAUCCUGGGGCUGUAGCCGGUCCCAAGGGUAUGGCUGUUCGCCAUUUAAAGAGGUACGUGAGCUGGGUUUAAAACGUCGUGAGACAGUUUGGUCCCUAUCUUCCGUGGGCGCUGCAGAUUUGAGAAGCCUGCUCCUAGUACGAGAGGACCGGAGUGGACACACCUCUGGUGUAUCGGUUGUCACGCCAGUGGCAUUGCCGAGUAGCUAAGUGUGGAAGAGAUAACCGCUGAAAGCAUCUAAGCGGGAAACUCGUUUCAAGAUGAGAUCUGCCGGGGCCUUGAGCCCCCUGAAGAGUCGUUCAAGACCAGGACGUUGAUAGGUCAGGUGUGGAAGCGCAGUAAUGCGUUAAGCUAACUGAUACUAAUUGCUCGUGCGGCUUGACC
rnacentral:rRNA from 1 species